rnacentral:lncRNA from 1 species
GGGAGAUGAGAAAUGGGCCUAAAAAAACAGAACAGCAGCAACGAUCUGAGGAGGAAAGUUAAUUUACUAAUGCAAGAUAGCACAACAUAAUGCAAUGUAUAAUUGGAACUGUGGCUAAUAAAUCAAAUAAAAUGAGAGAGAGAGUGUCAGAAACUGAAGGCCUUACUCUGAACUGAAGGUGAAACGGCUGAGGAGCACAACCACACACUGCAGGGCAGCAACAGAGGGAGUGAGUCCCAUGACUUGUGGGUCUGAUCUUCUCCUUUGAACACAAAGUCCUCUGGGGCAUGCAGUUCUCUUCUGAGAGCCUGGAAUCCGGAAAGCUGGCGGUCCAUGGAAGUGGGGCAUUAACUCUUUAACUCCCCGUGCGUUACAUGAUGUUAUGACGUGGAAACAAAAAUCAUAAAGCCGUGACGUUCCACCCCUUAUUCCACAUCACUCAUGCUAAAUAUAUACAUAUAUACAAACAAACAGCAAUUAACAUGCAUUACACACACACAUAUCUAUAUACAUAUAUAUAUAUACACGUGGAAUUACUGACUGCACUCCCCCAGCAUCAGAUUCCCUUGUGGUACACAUUGAACAUCCCCAUCUUUCUGCAUCACCCACCAAGUGGACCCAAGUCCCCAAACAAAAACCAUUCCACAGAGAGAUCUGCCCUUCCCGGAGGCUGGAAAGACCCAAGCAAUGUCAGUGGUGGCAUACCACUUGGCUGCUUUCAACUCCAGUUCAUACUGGAGUUCUAACGUCCAGCACAGCAGCACUCGGUGGAGGUGUGACUUCAUUCAGGCCACGGUAAUCUACCAUCAGCCUCCAUUCCCCACUGGCUUUACACACUGGCCAUAUGGGGCUGUUAAAUCAUAGAAUCGCUCAGGUUGGAAAAGACCCACAGGAUCACCCAUUCCAACCGUUCGCCCAUCACCAAUGGUUCCCGCUAAACCAUGUCCCUCAACACAACAUCCAAGCGCUCUUUGAACACCUCCAGGCUCGGCGACUCCACCACCUCUCUGGGCAGCCCAUUGCAGUGCCUGACCACCGCAGGCGGUGUCCACCUCCACCUGCAAAACAGAGGGAGUGGGAGCUGCUGGAGGUGGAAAGCAACACGACCACAUCACGCUGUGCCUCAGUGCACCCACUUAUGAGCAACUCCCAGUGCAGCCACGACACUUCCCAGAGCCCUGCUGGAUGGCUCUGCUCCCCGGUGAGCUGCACCCUCCCCUCCAUCCACUCAUGAGGACGGAGAGACAGAGCUGAGCCCACACACAGCCCAGCUACCCCGGGGAACAGCCAUCCUCACCACUUUCCCUACACACAACGAGAGCCAGACAAACCCACAAACCACCUUUUCCUGGCUUGGAGCUGGAAGGAGAGCAUUCCCAAGGCGCAGAGCAAGCACCACUCUCAGCAGGGGAGCAGCUGAGCCCCACCACGGCCACCUCACUCAGCAGAGCGCCGAUCCCUGCAGUGCCCCCAGGGCUGCCAAAACAGUGGCCGAAACGCAACAAACACCAACGGUGCGCAGCACAGUCAGCAAACACUCCUCUCUUAUUUUCUCCCUGCUUUUGGUUUGCGCUUUUAGAUGUAUUUUUUUUUUUCUCCCCCCCCCUUCUCCCACAAGGAAGCUGCCGCCGUCGGAAGGGAACAGCGGCAUCAUUCCUCAGCGCAUGAAAGCCACGCUGUCCCAGCAGGAGCCGCACUGUGCAGCCCCAACGAGGCCGGCCAAGCCGAGCUCCUCCUCCGGAGCAGCCACAGCACUUUGCUGCGUUGUGCUGAGCUCAGGGCUGGGGGGUUCCUGCACCCUCCCGGCUCUGUUGGUUUGCACAUCAGCCUCAAAGCAGUAGGGGGGCUUUGGGUGUCCUUCUGCACAGGGCAGUGAAUGCGGAUGGUGAUGCACAGCGGGGCAGCGCUGCAGCCCAAAUCCCACGGACACAAUAAUGAGGGAGGUCAGCAAGCGCAGCACGGGGGGGAAAGGGUUUUCCAAAUGGGAUCAGCACUGCUGUGGCACGGGAUGCACACGAGAGCUGCUCUCCGGGAGCAGAACGUCUCACCCGACCUCCUCACCAGGCUCUGCACAGCACCAAUCCAAGCCCAGCAGAACCAUCUGCCAUCUCUUCAGGCUCGCAGACCCCUGCAAGCUUCCUAGCGCAGGUGCAGGCUGACGGGGGGGGGGGGUCAGAAACCCAGCAAUACACCCGCGCUCCUCCCUGCCGUUUACCCGCCCCAGAGCGGUGUGCAGCUGUGGGAUUUCAGCCCUGCAGCCCCAGGGGGGAUCUCGUGCUGCCCGUGCCCACGGACUGCACGUGGCAGCUCCCCCGGGGGCUCCCGCAAACGCUCCUGCGUGCAGAUCGGGUCUGAAACGCUUAACGCUCAGCCCAGACCCCGUCCUCUCCUUGCACACGCGUGUAAAUUCGUGAACAAUUAACACAGCUUUCCUGGGUUUGGAGAAUUUGUCCUUUCUCCCCCCCCCAACAUUGAGUUCUUCACCCGAAAUCCGAAGGAAAACGAACGGAGCGCCCCACGCGGAACUGCGACCGCCUUCUGUCUCUGCUGCCCCCACGUGGCCAAAGCGCGGAACUGCAGCGGGGGACGUUCCGUCUCCGCUCCGCGCCGCCCGUCUCUAUGGUUAAAGGUCAUCCAGGCGCCAACGCGCAUGCGUGCGCAAUCCGGAAGCGGCCGCUCUGCGCAGCCAGCCCUCCAAUCUCUCUUGUGCUCAGUCCUCCAGGCAGUGGCUCCCGAGCGCUCGGAGGCGUAAAAAGGGCAGAAAAUUCUGCGUAGCGCUCCAGGGGUGGCCGAGCACUCCGCCCACGGACCGUCGGUCCGUCUUUUCCCUCUCGCUUUCCGCCACGCGUUCUCCUUCCUUUGCUCCGCUGCUCCCAUUGCCUUCCUGUGCGCUGCGCUCCGUUCACGAGCACCGAAUCCAAAGCGCCAUCCUUUAACGCAACCGCAGUCGUAACCCUAAAAGGAACGUUAAUCGUAAUCCCGAUGGCCCCGAAAUGUCACAGCUCCGACCCCCAAAGACCCUUAAAAACGACCCCCGUAUCGUAUUGCGUUCAACAGGUGGCAGCAAACUCCACCCCAAGAG